CAACCGCAACGAAGCUCGUUACUCUUGCACCGACAUCCCCCCAUCCACCCACAACCACACACCCAAAGCAAAACCGCAACAACAACGUGUGACUGUAUACGCACAAGCGCACGGGCACACCUGCAGCAGUUGGAGCGACUGCUUCGCUUUCCCUUUUACUUUUUCGCACGUACUUACGUGGACGAUCUCGGAGAGGUGUUGCUGAUUUUUGUUUUGCUGUGCUGUUAUCUUUAUUUUUGUGUGCAGCCUACGCGCACGAAACGUGCCCCUCUACUUGCAUCUGCGCAUACGCACAUAGUUGUACGGAAGCGCGCGAGCAGACAAAAGGAAAGAAAGAAGGAGCGCGAGGGGUGGGGAAACUGGUGAACAAAAGGGUAGAAUAACAAGUGAGAAAAAACAUAAGGAAGACCGCAGGGCGUUGCGCUUUUCGUAUUGCUUCGCUGGCGUUGCCUUUUGCUUUCCUUCGAUUUUGACGCACGCACAGCACGCACAAAAACCUCACAAGUGCAUCGUCGCCUUGGUGUCUAUCUCUCUCUGCACGGGAAGCGUGCAAUGCGACUCGGAAAACAGGUGCCAGGAAGCGCGCGGCACAUGCGUGCAGGGCGCGCACCUAUUUUGGUGGCAGCACUGGUGCUCCUGUGUGCCACCGUCUUUGCCUCGGCCGGCAUCACUGGCUACUCGACCGGCACGAUUAUAUCGCCUCAAGCGAAUGCCUACCGCAGCCGUCGCACCCUCUCCCCGAUGGAUUAUUAUAAACUCCCUGUUUGCCAGCCCUCCGAUGAGGUGAUGAAAGCGAGGCGCGAACAUCCCCUUAUUGGCGACAUUCUGACGGGCAAUCGUCUUGUUCCGACCAUGUUCGAGUUUCGAGUUGGCGAGGACGUCAAGUGCGCCACCUUGUGCGAUGCCAGCUUCACUGUCAAAGCCGUGCGGCGGGCCAACUACAUGAUCAAUAAUGACUACUACGUGCGCAUGUUCCUCGACAACAAGCCGCUCGUUUCGGCAUCCCCUCAUGAGGGGAGUAACGCGUAUCUCCUAGGCUACCCUCUUGGCGCACAGAACGACGUUGAAAAGACCCAGGUGAAGACGAACAUUAUUCACAAUCAUCUCGACUUUACCAUUCGCAUCAAGAACCGGGCGAUCUCUCAGUUCACGGGAGAGGAGGUGGUCGGCUUCAAAGUCGUCGCCAGAAGUCUUGCGGAGGUGGGCACGUGCACAGCGACAGCGUUUCAACACUCAAGCCGCCCGUACAUCUUGCCGAGUUAUAGGGAUGGAAAGGAUGUGAAGGUUCCUUUCACGUACAGCGUGACUUGGGAGAGGUCUAACGAGGAGUACCCCAUCGAGCACAGAAUUGGAGAAGAUACCCAGCGGCGCGGGCACAAGAUCGCCGCCCUGUACGGCGUUCUGCUUACCAUGCUGACGGGCGUUGUGGUAGCGUUUGUGAUGCUCCGCACUGUGCGCAAGGACCUGGCCGUCUACCUUGACGAGGAGCUGGACGAGAGGGAGAUACGUGAGGAGUCGGGCUGGAAACUGGUACGCGGCGACGUUUUCCGCCCGCCCCAGCAAGCCGCAGCCUUGGCGACGGCCGUCGGCGCCGGGUGCCAGAUUGCGGCGACCAUGCUCAGCAGCGUGUUCCUCUGCGCCAUCCACGUCGUGGACUCGACGCACCGCGGCACCUUCCUGAGCACUGUCAUUGCACUUUUUCUGAUUGGUCACGUUGUCUCCGGUUUUGUGACGACUCGACUGCUGAAGCUCUUCGGUAUGGCCACGUGGAAGAGCGCCAUGUGCUGCAUGGCAGCGUUCCCGGCUGCACUAGGAGGCGGCGUCAUGCUCCUAAACCUCAUCCAUUGGGCGAAGCACAGCACGGCGGCCAUCCCGUUCCUGACGGUGGUCGGAAUUAUACUUUCGUGGCUGCUCAUCUCACUUCCUUUUGGGUGCUAUGGCAUCUACUGGGGCUUUAAGAUGGACACUCUGGCCGUCACGGCCAGGGUCAGCAGCAUCCCUCGACUCAUACCGGAAGAUGCGGAUAGCAUGACUCUCUACUAUGUACUUGCUGGUAGUCUUGUGCCCUUCAUUGCGUGCUGCGUGGAGAUACCCUUCGCCUUGAACGCCUUCUGGCGGGAGGAGCCCAUGUACCUCUACGGCUUCCUGACCUUCUUCUCCAUUGCACUGGUCGUGCUUUGCGCGGAGGUGGGCAUUGUGGUGACCUACUUCACCUUGCGCGGGGAAGACUACCGUUGGUGGUGGCGCAGCUACUCCGCUCUUGCGACUACUGGCAUCCACCUGUUUGCAUACAGCAUUCUCUUCCUCAAGCGCUCUCUGCAGAUCCGCGCGCUCUCCUCGAUCAUCCUCUUCCUGGGUUACAUGCUCGGCGCGUCCAUUAUGUUUGGUAUGGCGCUCGGCUCUAUCGGUUUUAUUGGGUCGUUUUGGCUCGUCCAGAAAAUGUACGCCUCCAUCAAGGCUGAAUAGCGGCGUGGGCGUGUGCGAGGCAUUUCUAGCUGAUUUGCUGUAACUUUGUGGUCGUCUCUCAUUUUUCUUCUCCGGUAAUGGGCUUCCCUCUCCCCACUUCUCCUUGCGUAACACGUGAUUGUGUGUUGUGCGCUCUUAUGGUGCAGAUGCAGUUGGCGGCCGUUCGUUCUGUAUCUCUUGUUUUUCUUUUUUUUCCUUUCCUCGGCACACGCGUAAGCGCGUCUCCGUCUCACGUCACAGGCCAUGCCAUCAGAGGGGGAGGAGAGGAGAACGCGAAAUAAAGGAGAGAGGUAGGGUGUCUAUACCAGACGGAUAGACUCUCUCUUCACGAGGGGUGGGCGGAUCGUGGUGGAGAGGACCGUGUGCACGCACUUCUGCUCUCUUCCCCAGCUAUGCGCCAACACGCUCAUGCACUUUUAAGCGCACACAUUUGUACAAGCGCAUACUCAUGCAUCUAACAUGCACCAGGAGCGGGGCCGUGCCUGGGCAUCUUCUCUGUUGCGUUCGAAAAAGUGAAGAUGCCGAGACGGAGGAGGGGCGGCGGUGGGCGGUGCGCACAGAGCGGAAGAAGGAAGGCGAGCGUGGCUUGACAGGGGGAGGGGAGUGAGGCAGCGGUGGGGAGCACAUGUUCCGCCUCCUCCCUGUGCUUUGCUCACCAUCGCUAACGGGACGGCUGCGCAGCCGUUUCCCUGCUCCGGCCCCUUCCUUUUCUUCAGCAGAGACGAGUAUCGUUUGGGACCGGCGCCGUUCGAACGUGCUGCAAUCG
rnacentral:misc_RNA from 1 species